GUUGAACGCUGGCGGCAGGCCUAACACAUGCAAGUCGAACGGUAACAGGAAGCAGCUUGCUGCUUUGCUGACGAGUGGCGGACGGGUGAGUAAUGUCUGGGAAACUGCCCGAUGGAGGGGGAUAACUACUGGAAACGGUAGCUAAUACCGCAUAACGUCGCAAGACCAAAGAGGGGGACCUUAGGGCCUCUUGCCAUCGGAUGUGCCCAGAUGGGAUUAGCUAGUAGGUGGGGUAACGGCUCACCUAGGCGACGAUCCCUAGCUGGUCUGAGAGGAUGACCAGCCACACUGGAACUGAGACACGGUCCAGACUCCUACGGGAGGCAGCAGUGGGGAAUAUUGCACAAUGGGCGCAAGCCUGAUGCAGCCAUGCCGCGUGUAUGAAGAAGGCCUUCGGGUUGUAAAGUACUUUCAGCGGGGAGGAAGGGAGUAAAGUUAAUACCUUUGCUCAUUGACGUUACCCGCAGAAGAAGCACCGGCUAACUCCGUG
rnacentral:rRNA from 1 species